GGCCCAGCAGAUAGCCACACUGUGUGCCACUCUUCAGGAAUACCCAUCCAUUCGCUACCGCAAGGGCCCAGAAGACACAGCCCAGCUGGCCCAUGCUGUCCUGGCCAAGCUGAACGCCUUCAAGGCAGACACUCCCAGUCUGGGCGAGGGCCCAGAGAAAACACGCUCACAGUUGCUCAUAAUGGACCGGGCAGCAGACCCCGUGUCCCCGCUAUUACAUGAACUCACAUCCUCACUCCAACCCGCUUCCUCGAUGACCUCAGGACCCUGGAUCAGAAGCUGGAGGACAUAGCCCUGCCCUGACUCAGCUGCUUGCUCUGCCCUCUCCUCCUGUUCCAGAGAAAUAAACUCUUCCCUUCAUCUUUC
rnacentral:lncRNA from 1 species